UGAGGAAUUUUCUGCAAUGGGCGAAAGCCUGACAGAGCAAUACCGCGUGAGGGAUGAAGGCCUACGGGUUGUAAACCUCUUUUCUCAAGGAGGAAGUUUGACGUUACUUGAGGAAUAAGCAUCGGCUAACCCUGUGCCAGCAGCCGCGGUAAUACAGGGGAUGCAAGUGUUAUCCGGAAUUAUUGGGCGUAAAGCGUCUGCAGGUGGAUAAUUAAGUCUUUUGUUAAAUUUUCAGGCUUAACCUGAAGUCCGCAAAGGAAACUAGUUAUCUUGAGUAUGGUAGAGGUAAAGGGAAUUUCCAGUGGAGCGGUGAAAUGCGUAGAUAUUGGAAAGAACACCAACAGCGAAGGCACUUUACUGGGCCAUUACUGACACUCAGAGACGAAAGCUAGGGGAGCAAACGGG
rnacentral:rRNA from 1 species